rnacentral:rRNA from 1 species
GAUGAACGCUAGCGGCAGGCUUAAUACAUGCAAGUCGUGGGGCAGCAUGAGUAGCAAUACUUGAUGGCGACCGGCAAACGGGUGAGGAACACGUACACAACCUUCCUUCAAGCGGGGAAUAGCCCAGAGAAAUUUGGAUUAAUACCCCAUAAUAUAUUUGAUAAGGCAUCUUAUUAAUAUUAAAGCUUCGGCACUUGAUGAUGGGUGUGCGGCUGAUUAGAUAGUUGGCGGGUAACGGCCCACCAAGUCUACGAUCAGUAGCUGAUGUGAGAGCAUGAUCAGCCACACGGGCACUGAGACACGGGCCCGACUCCUACGGGAGGCAGCAGUAAGGAAUAUUGGAC